rnacentral:lncRNA from 1 species
UGCUUUUUCCUAAUAACAAUAUUCCUUCAUCAACUGAUAACAAUAGUGUGCAAUCCUGCACUCUCAAAAGACCACUCAAAACAAAUAAUUUCCAUCCAACACCAGAAUUAACAUACUUCACUCCAACCAAUUUGAAUUCACAUAAUUUUUGUAAUCACAGACUUCUGUCCAAAACACAAACAACUCUCAAUAAACAACAAUCAUAAUCUUCCAAUAACUCCUCAUAUAAUUUAAUCAAUUAGUACUCCAAUUACAUAAUCAAUAACUCAUAAAUCAAUCUCUAAUUUAUUCUACACACUCACUUUUCAGUAUUAAAAAACUAUCCAUUAUUUUUCAACAACAAAGAAAAACAAAGAGGUAGCACCAAGCUUAACCCCGGUUCAUGACUAUCACAAUCUGGUACUCAGACUAAUUUCUACAACUCCUAUAUACUUACUCUCUAUUCUCAAAUUCUAAGUAUAAUUCUUUAAUUAAC